UACAGAGGUCUCGAGCGUUGUUCGGAUUCAUUGGGCGUAAAGGGUGCGUAGGUGGCGCUGUAAGUCGGGUGUGAAAUCCUGGGGCUUAACCCCGGAACUGCAUUCGAUACUGCAGUGCUUGAGGACUGGAGAGGAGACUGGAAUUCAUGGUGUAGCAGUGAAAAUGCGUAGAGAUCAUGAGGAAGACCAGUGGCGAAGGCGGGGUCUCUGGACAGUUCCUGACACUGAGGCACGAAGGCCAGGGGAGCAAACGGG
rnacentral:rRNA from 1 species